rnacentral:lncRNA from 1 species
AAAAUUUUCAUUUAGAUACCUAUAUUAGGUCUUGUUCCAAUUGGACACUUGAACUAUGCUGAAAGUAUUCCUAUCAGACACAACUCACAGACAUGGCACAUAUCGUGAGAUACACAGUAUUUGAGCGCGUGAAAUUGCUCUAUGUUAAACUACAACAAAAUAUUUUGCCGGCAAAUAUAAGAUUUCACGGGAAAAAUCAACUUUCCAGCCAUGUUGGUUCUACUUCGCCUCCAAUUCUUCUGAGCUGUUAUCGCUGCCACUUCUUUUCAGCUAUAGAUUCAAACUCUCCUCCUCAUGCCGUUCUCAAACUCCAUUUUAGCCAUUUUUAUCGUCAGCUCGUUCGGAACUGGUUCUGCAACUUUUUUUAGCCAUUUUCAAAUUCAUACCACGAAUUGGUCCUCCCAUCUUCGAAAAAGUAAUUUUUUUUAAAGAUUUUUCUAUAGAGAAAAGUUUAUAAGAUACAACUUAGAAUAUUAAUUUUAAAGGAUUUGAACAAUUUGUAUGAUGGCGUAUUAGGGCAUACACAGCUUUUCUCUUUUGGUUGUUGAGGAGAGAUGUUGAUGUCGCCGGAAACAUUCUACGGCGAACGAAAUCGAAUGUGGCGUUGUUGGAAACAGUAAUUCAAUGGAAAACCACUUUCUUUUCAAAGUAAAAUGUUCACAUGGUGGAAUCACAUCGUUAGAUAUUUGAAACUCUUCACUGGAAUCCUUUUUUCCCAUCAACAUCAUUCUCUUACUCUGUUCUUUUAGAUCUUCACUUUUACUUUUGCUGAUGUGUCCUUUCCUUAUUGGUUUUGUUUACAAUGCCAACAACAAGUGAUCAUCACGCAACGUGUUUGAUUUAAAAUUAUCAUAUUUGUGUUCAAUAGACAUACUUUUAGCGGUGUUCAAUUGGAACAUGUCUUAGUAUAAGUGUCUAAAUAAAAAUUUUGGACAAGUUUAAGGGCCCACACAUGUAUUCGACCUAAAAAACCAAGGUACCAUACCUGAUAACAAAGUACAUGGAAUUUCAUAGUCCAAUCCUUAGGAACUUUUUCUGUAAAAUUUCAAUCAAAUAGAUACAAACGCCUUAAGUCCUUCAGCUUACUCAUUUCCUCAAAAAACUAAUAACGGGCUCAUCAACAGAAAUACCUUUCCUCAUGAUAGCAUCCCUUUAUAACCAUUCAUGUUUUAUUUUAGUUACAAUUGUUUAUUCCCAGAGAUGUUUAAUGUUCAGUUACACAAGCAUUGGGUCAGUUACAGACCUUUGGGCUUAUUCAAUAAAAAUAAUUAACGUUGUUAUCCAGGUAUUAAUUAUUUGCCAAAGAGAAAAGAACUGAUAUAAAUGCAUUUGGAUAAAUUUGUUCUGUAAAAACAAAACGGGUUGGAGAUAUUUUGUAACCGAAAGAAUGUGUACUUAACAAAAGAAAAAUGGGAAAUAAGUGGAAAAUGUCAGAAAAAUGAGAAAAAAUAAAUAAAUGGCAAUCCUAAUCUAAGAAAGGUGCCAAAUCAGCUUUCUCAUUCCCUCGUAUAUAUAUAGAACCUUAAUUGAUUACUUUACCUGAAAUACAAUUGACCGUUCAUUGUUACCGUUUCUAAAAAGAAUAUUUUUAUGACAUUACCUAACUAUGAUACUAGCAUAUAUGCGAGGAUUUCAUUAGCUAGAGCGUCCAAGUUGCCAAUUCUAAUGAACCUGACUAGAAUUAGACUUACUUAUGAUAUUUAUGGAGAUGGGAUAAAGGUAUAUGAAAUACAAGAGUAAAUCUUUAUCGUACUAAUUCAUUGUUUACUUCUUCGGCACUUCGCUUUUGGCAGCUUUAGUUAUAACUACCAAAGGAAAUGAGCCCGUGGUAGUGAAGUAAGCACCUAACGGCAUAUUUUAGUGUCCAGAACACUUCAUCAUCCUUGUGUCCAGCCAUUGAUUUUACAUAAUUACACAGCAAAAUCUUAGCUUACAUAAUCAUGUGAGCAUUAACUUGAUGCAGUGAAAGUUUUCACUUUAUUAGUGGUAUUUAACCUUGUAUAUCGCCAAGAAGGGACAAGCUCUAUUACUCUUGUGGUAUAUUUUUGUUUAUUUUUUAUAGCCAGGAGAAGAGAAGAAGGAUCAGCCCAGAAAACCUAUUCACAAUACAUACUAAACCUUAAGUAUCGAGCCAUAGGUAAUGAUAAAUACAAGAAGAAUCGAAUGUAUAUCACAUGGCCAAUCCCAAAGGUAAUGAUAAAUACAAGAAGGUAAUGAUUAGGUAGGAUUCUCAACUACCAUUCAACAAAGGGGAUAUCAUUGAACUUGCCCCAAUUCAAUAACAAAUCAUCACAUUAAUCCAAUUAUGAUAAUUCAGCAAAUGGCAAAUAGGAUAUCAGCCACAACAGGAUAGUCUUCACUUAUCAAAUUCAAGCGAAGACUUGAAAGACAUGGUGGCUUACUAUCUAUAGCUUAUGCAUUUUUGUUGAGUACUGUUGUUUUUAUUUCUUAUCUAAACAGCACUUGACCGUCCAUAAGCACAGUUUCCACAAAAGUUAAAAACAAAACAACAGCCAAGAAAGAAUAACUAUUAUAGCAAUCGGAAAAAAGGCCUCAGAAUUGCAGAAAUUAACAGCAAGGACUUAUGGGCCAUUCAGUCCCGAAAGAUGGUGUUUUUAAAUAUACAUCUCAUCAUAGGCCAAUUUAAACAAAAGCAAAUACACAUUGUUAGAAUAUAUUUCUCAUGGCCAAUCCCAAGAGAUAAUAGCAGAGACUCUGCUCAACAAGGCCAUAGGAUAUGAGAACGCCCUCUUCGGAUUAAAUAAUCAACAAAAAGGCUUGCUUUUGUGAUGAUUUUACACACAUAUGGGUCAUACAAGCAUAGCAAUAAAACUCGCCCCAUUUAAAAAUGAACCAUCACAACACCAAAAAAUCAUACUAGUAUAAAAAGAAGAGUGUGAAAUGAAAUUAGUAGACAAGUACCAUUAUAAAAAAAAGGAACCCACCUGUGGAUUCAUCUCAGCGGUUGUCUGGCCGCCGCUGAUUUAAAUCAGCAUUCCCUUUUUGCACUUUCACUCAAGGCUCCGCUAUUUCAAUAUUUUUAGCGUAGCCUUUGAAUAAACGUGUGCAGAAAAAACGAUGGGAGUAUUGAGGACUACGGUAGUUAACUAGUUACUGGUUUGUCUGGGCAAAAAAGAAAGGAUUUUGAUUUGGGACUACGGGCGGAUAACCCCAGAUUGGGCAGAAC